UAUCUGCAGAGCUGUUUGGGAGUUUGUUUGUUGUUUGUUUGUCUGUUUCUCUCUCAAAAAGGAGAACUUUUUGGCUUACUGACCAGGAAAGCAUUAAAGAACAAAUGACUUCCACCUAGUAACAGAUUUAUACAUGUCACCAUCACUUCAUGUUUUUCUUCUGUUCGCUGUUUCCCCAGAUGCUUUCCUGGGGAAGUUUUGCUUUCUUUAGCUUGUGUGUAACCUUUGUCCUUUCUUAUUACUCUUCUCUUCUUCUUGUGGGUUUUCUCUAUCUUUUGGUGUUUUGGGUUUUUGUUUUGUUCUGUUUUGUUUUGUUUUCUUCCUUCUUUUUCUCUUUUCACUUUUAUUUUCUGAACCCAUCUCCUGGUUCCUCGUUCCCUGCAU
rnacentral:lncRNA from 1 species